rnacentral:rRNA from 1 species
AUUGGAAGUAAAAGUCGUAACAAGGUUUCCGUAGGUGAACCUGCGGAAGGAUCAUUAACGAGUUAGGGUCUUCCAGGCCCGAUCUCCAACCCUUUGUAUAACUACCAUGUUGCUUUGGCGGGCCCGUCUUUCACCGGACCGCCGAGGGUCUUUUGACCUUUGGCCAGUGCUCGUCAGUAGCCUUAACAAACUCUUUUUAACCAUGUUAAAUCUGAAUAAUAGUUAAAUAAACUAAAACUUUCAACAACGGAUCUCUUGGUUCUGGCAUCGAUGAAGAACGCAGCGAAAUGCGAUAAGUAGUGUGAAUUGCAGAAUUCAGUGAAUCAUCGAAUCUUUGAACGCACAUUGCGCCUCCUGGUAUUCCGGGAGGCAUGCCUGUUCGAGCGUCAUUAAAAACCACUCGGGCCAUUUCAUAAUGGCUUGGUAUUGGGAGAGGAGUGCACCCGUUGCCCUCCCUUCCGAAAUGCAAUGGCGGAAAGCCCCACGUGCCCCGGCGUAGUAAGUCUUUCUUUCGCUCGGAACGUUGGGUGAUCCUGCCGUCAAACCCCCAAUUCUUUUACAGGUUGACCUCGGAUCAGGUAGGGAUACCCGCUGAACUUAAGCAUAUCAAUAAGCGGAGGAAAUC